rnacentral:lncRNA from 1 species
CUAUGUUUUCGUCUGUUGUAUGUUCCCACCUAAUAACAUUUCUUCAUGAAUAAUAACAUGCACGUGUUCCGACCAAGAAGACUACUUCUGUGCUUGAACUAUUCCAAAUUGCAGCUAUUUUUCAGGAGAAGAACAGGUAUGUGUGCCCUGAUUAGAAAAGUGUAGACCUCAGUAGUGUAGAAUUUAUCUGUCGCAUCAGGAAGGCGCCAAAAAACAUGUUUCCUGAACUUCUGGUUUCUGACUUGUAGCAACUCAGGAACAUCCAAAGAUGAUUGGUUCAUCGAUCAAUUGUUGAUAGCAAUUAGCUCAGAGAAUAGAACAACUUUGCAACUGGCAAUCUUGUGCAUUACACCUACUUUGUUUGACAAAAUAUUCCCAAGGGUAGUUUCAGUUUGAUUUAGGCAUCUACAUUAUCUUACAAUCUUGUUUGUAAAUAAUUUUUCAGGUUUAUCUGUACACCGUCCCGUUCGACCCUCGUCUCUGUCGGUGUCGCCCUGCCAUGGCACGGGUGAACUAGAAUGUAUCAUCAGUUCGUCACCAAUAAGCAAUGAAAUCUGAUGUGUUUUUUGUUCCUGAUCCCAUGGUUACUCUAAAUUUUGAAAGUUGAUUAUGCAGUUUAAAAACCUGUCUUGACCUUUUCUGGCCUCUUCACCAUAUUGAUUUGCUAGAAGUUAUUGUGGUUUUCAUUGAUUUGGAAUAUGUGGCUAUAUAUCCGUGGGCAGUUUUUGGUUAUUACCAGGAAGAAGAGAACAUGAGCAUGCGUGUUUGCAAAAUUUGGUGUGCUUCUAGCUCCCAAUAUGUCUUUGUGCUUGAUCAAUUGUUCGCCUCAUGGUAUUUAGUGUAAUUUUGCCUUGAUUAUUAGCAUCUGAGUAUUAAUGCUUGCAGGAGUGGGUGGAGCGGGACUAGGUUGUCGUCCAAGUUGCUCCACACCCUUUGACAUUGUUGCGUCUAGACCAUCGCUCAGCUCCCACAUCUGUAUGCAUGUCUGGUCUAAGCACUUGAAUUUUUGUUAUAUGGUGCAUAUGCAUUUGCUACAGUUUUGUUCAGGUAUAUCUAUUUUAAUGUUCUCAAUGUCAAUCUAUUCUUUGUACCACCAGGAUUAAAGCAAUACAAAAAAGGAUCUUCUAACAUGUUUUUUUACAUUUAUUUGGUCUAAUUAAAAUGGUAUUUAUUCAUAGACAUGUGCAGAAGAGGGAAUAGAUGUCAAUUGAUGCUAAAUCUUUCAUAUAAACACAUAAAUAGCUCUCGACGCAUGACAUGUUUUUUCUGAUAUUGUUCUAUUUCAAUGCAACAAAUCUAGAUUUAUGUUACUUAUUAUUCAUACUCAAACAGUGCUCUAAUGCAGGACUUCUCCUUUGUCAUUGGAUUAAAAAGACAAACACUUAUACCAACUAUUUAUUGUUUUUCUUUUCUGAAAUCGAGGAUUCACUUUGUAAUGUGCCGAGAGGUACUUAUGUGUUUUUAUUAUUCAUGAAUGGCAUGACCAAGAAUGCAGGGAGGAAAUGUUCUAUAAAUCAAGACAAACAUGUUGAAACUUGGUAAUGUUGCAGGGAACUUAAGUAGAAGUACAAUAUUUCCAUGAAAGCUUCAGUUCUUAUUCUCUGAUCAUGUUGUUGGGAAUGGCAAUCACUCGCAGCUUCCUGUCUAAAAACCUUAAUUGUGGUCUAGGUUUUUUGGUUCUGAAGCAACGUAAUAAACAUUACUAUUUGACAAAGUAAAAGGUUCUUCUUCAUUGAAAUAUUUUCUUAUCCUGUUUGUAGGAUUUGGCCAUGAUUCUCUUUCCUCAUUUGUACAUUUGGUGUUUUGUUGUGUCUCAAAGUUGAACCUUUUACGUGAUGUCAAUUUUUUUGACGCUUUUACAAGUUAUCUAUUGUAUACGUUGAUGCUUUUAUUUCUAAGAUGUAUUCUUUAGUGAUACUCACAUCUUAUUUGCCUCUCUAUGCAAUGAUAGGAAUGAAAAUAUGAUUGAAUUCUGAAUCUGAUAUUAUGUGGCCUAACCAUUAUAUGUCCUCUUGUGAAUUUUUAUUCUCUUGGUUGUGGGCUACAUCUGGUCGCUCUAGGACAAAGCAACAUCUUCCCCACCUUAGAGCUCCAAAUAUGGUGUCUCGACAUCAAAAGAUUGGACCAUGAGGAUUGGAGUUUGAACGGGAUGCACUUGAUGUGAGAGGAAGAGAUGCCUCGCAUGCAAUAUUGACGAGCUCGGGAUACUAUACAAGCUAGAUGGUGUUGCCUUGUCUGUUAUACAUGUUUGUUUUUGCUCAUAGCCCAUUAUAAUUGUGUAUCCCAUGGAUUUCAUUUAUCAUGUAAAUUGUAUGAUCAAAUUAUGGAUCUUAAUGUUUGCUUCCUUUUCAGCAUUCAUUUGUGGUUUUGCUUGAAGGUUUUCAGCCUACAAUGGAGAUAUUAAUUUUUACUAUGUUUUCACAUUUUUGUCAUGACACACAUUUAGGUUGAGAUGGUAGUAGCAAGACACUUGACUUGUUCUUUAACGGCUUGACGGUUAAGAAGAUGUCCAUUUGGCAGGAAGGAGUGGGUGCUUGGACUAAAUGGGAUGCAUGAUAUAUGUGUUCAUAAAAUAUUUCACUCAUGUCUAACAUAUCUAUAUUGUUCUGUGGCAACGCACGGGCAUCCAACUAGUGAACCUUAAAAUCGGCUCAAAGCUUGGCUUGCUAGAACCGCUUGAAUCGGUCGUUUCAGGCUGAGUUGAGCAUAAAAAGGGGCAAUUACUAGGGGCGGAGAUACAGUGUGCCCAGGGUGGGCCACGGUUUUUGAAGCAACCUAUCUAUAUCUAUAUCUAUACCUAUUAAUAAAGCAAUGUGAUACUAAUAAUGCAACAAAUCUAGAUUUAUGUUAUUUAUUAUUCAUACUCAAACAGUGCUCUAAUGCAGGACUUCUCCUUUGUCAUUGGAUUAAAAAGACAAACACUUAUACCAGCUAUUUAUUGUUUUUCUUUUCUGAAAUCGAGGAUUCACUUUGUAAUGUGCUGAGAGGUACUUAUGUGUUUUUAUUGUUCAUGAAUGGCAUGACCAAGAAUGCAGGGAGGAAAUGUUC